rnacentral:piRNA from 1 species
UGGGGUGUAUGAAGGCUUUUGGUCUC